UGGGGAAUAUUGCACAAUGGGCGAAAGCCUGAUGCAGCGACGCCGCGUGAGGGAUGACGGCCUUCGGGUUGUAAACCUCUUUCGACAGGGACGAAGCGUAAGUGACGGUACCUGUAGAAGAAGCACCGGCCAACUACGUGCCAGCAGCCGCGGUAAUACGUAGGGUGCGAGCGUUGUCCGGAAUUACUGGGCGUAAAGAGCUUGUAGGCGGUUUGUCGCGUCGUCUGUGAAAACUCACAGCUCAACUGUGAGCUUGCAGGCGAUACGGGCAGACUUGAGUACUGCAGGGGAGACUGGAAUUCCUGGUGUAGCGGUGAAAUGCGCAGAUAUCAGGAGGAACACCGGUGGCGAAGGCGGGUCUCUGGGCAGUAACUGACGCUGAGAAGCGAAAGCGUGGGUAGCGAACAGGAUUAGAUACCCUGGUAGUCCACGCCGUAACGGUGGGUACUAGGUGUGGGUUUCCUUCCACGGGAUCCGUGCCGUAGCUAACGCAUUAAGUACCCCGCCUGGGGAGUACGGCCGCAAAGCU
rnacentral:rRNA from 1 species